rnacentral:rRNA from 1 species
UACGGAAGGGGCAAGCGUUGUUCGGAAUCAUUGGGCGUAAAGGGCGCGUAGGUGGUCCUGUAUGUCUACCGUGAAAGCACACGGCUCAACCGUGUUACGUCGGUGGAAACUGCAGGACUUGAGGCUGGGAGGGGCUGGUGGAAUUCCCUGUGUAGCGGUGAAAUGCGUAGAGAUGGGGGAGAACACUCGUGGCGAAGGCGGCCAGCUAGACCAGCUCUGACACUGAGGCGCGACAGCGUGGGGAGCAAACAGG